rnacentral:rRNA from 1 species
AUUGAACGCUGGCGGCAGGCUUAAUACAUGCAAGUCGAGGGGGAUUAUUUUUGUAGCAAUACAGAGAUAUGAGACCGGCAACGGGUGCGGAACACGUACGCAACCUUCCCAAAACUGGUGAAUAGCCCUCCGAAAGGAGGAUUAAUACACCGUAACAUAAUGAAGUGGCAUCACUUUAUUAUUAUAGCUCCGGCGGUUUUGGAUGGGCGUGCGCCUGAUUAGGUAGUUGGCGGGGUAACGGCCCACCAAGCCUGCGAUCAGUAACUGGUGUGAGAGCACGACCAGUCACACGGGCACUGAGACACGGGCCCGACUCCUACGGGAGGCAGCAGUAAGGAAUAUUGGUCAAUGGACGAAAGUCUGAACCAGCCAUGCCGCGUGAAGGAUGAAGGCCCUCUGGGUUGUAAACUUCUUUUAUCUGGGACGAAAAAAGACGAUUCUUCGUCACUUGACGGUACCAGAAGAAUAAGCACCGGCUAACUCCGUGCCAGCCGCCGCAGUAAAAC